rnacentral:snoRNA from 1 species
GAGCACUGUUCGUAACCUGUCAGCCUGGUUGUGUCUCGUGGGUUCCAUUCCAGUGCUACAGCAUGUCCAGUGACACCUGGCUAGCUGACUGACUGGUGGCUUUCAGUUUCGGGUCCUGGAUACAUGC